rnacentral:rRNA from 1 species
UACGGAGGGGGCUAGCGUUGUUCGGAAUUACUGGGCGUAAAGCGUGCGUAGGCGGACUAAUAAGUAGAGGGUGAAAUCCCGAGGCUCAACCUCGGAACUGCCUUCUAAACUGUUAGUCUUGAGUUCUGGAGAGGUGAGUGGAAUUGCUAGUGUAGAGGUGAAAUUCGUAGAUAUUAGCAGGAACACCAGAGGCGAAGGCGGCUCACUGGACAGAUACUGACGCUGAGGCACGAAAGUGUGGGGAGCAAACAGG